UUUUAUUGCGAAGAACCUUACCUAAGCUUGACAUCCUUUUGACCGAUGCCUAAUCGCAUCUUUCCCUUCGGGGACAGAAGUGACAGGUGGUGCAUGGUUGUCGUCAGCUCGUGUCGUGAGAUGUUGGGUUAAGUCCCGCAACGAGCGCAACCCUUGCCUUUAGUUGCCAGCAUUAAGUUGGGCACUCUAGAGGGACUGCCAGGGAUAACCUGGAGGAAGGUGGGGAUGACGUCAAAUCAUCAUGCCCCUUAUGAUUAGGGCUACACACGUGCUACAAUGGGUGGUACAAAGGGCAGCCAAGUCGUGAGGCCGAGCAAAUCCCAAAAAGCCAGUCUCAGUUCGGAUUGUAGUCUGCAACUCGCCUACAUGAAGCUGGAGUUGCUAGUAAUCGCGGAUCAGCAGCCCGAUUUCC
rnacentral:rRNA from 1 species